AGAGUUGAUCCUGGCUUAGGACGAACGCUGGCGGCGUGCCUAACACAUGCAAGUCGAGCGAGGAGAUCCUUCGGGAUGAUCCUAGCGGCGGACGGGUGAGUAACACGUGGGCAACCUGCCUCAUAGAGAGGAAUAGCCUUCCGAAAGGGAGAUUAAUACCUCAUAACAUUGCAGUUUCGCAUGGAACAGCAACUAAAGGAGUAAUCCGCUAUGAGAUGGGCCCGCGGCGCAUUAGCUAGUUGGUGAGGUAACGGCUCACCAAGGCGACGAUGCGUAGCCGACCUGAGAGGGUGAUCGGCCACAUUGGGACUGAGACACGGCCCAGACUCCUACGGGAGGCAGCAGUGGGGAAUAUUGCACAAUGGGGGAAACCCUGAUGCAAGCAACGCCGCGUGAGUGAUGACGGCCUUCGGGUUGUAAAGCUCUGUCUUCAGGGACGAUAAUGACGGUACCUGAGGAGGAAGCCACGGCUAACUACGUGCCAGCCGCUGC
rnacentral:rRNA from 1 species